rnacentral:rRNA from 1 species
UACAGAGGUCUCAAGCGUUGUUCGGAUUCAUUGGGCGUAAAGGGUGCGUAGGCGGCGCGGUAAGUCGGGUGUGAAAGCCCUCAGCUCAACUGAGGAAGUGCGCCCGAAACUGCUGUGCUUGAGUGCCGGAGAGGAUGGCGGAAUUCCCCAAGUAGAGGUGAAAUUCGUAGAUAUGGGGAGGAACACCGGUGGCGAAGGCGGCCAUCUGGACGGUAACUGACGCUGAGACGCGAAAGCGUGGGUAGCAAACAGG